UGCUUUUGUUUUGUGAGCGUUUUUGACACCACCCUACGGACUUGAGGGAUUCAGCUUCAGUAGGGUGUAAACAAAUCUCUACUCUACGCCGAAUAAGGGAUCAUUUGUUAUUGAUGACUGUGAAAGCGGUCUUCACUCGUAGAAUGUAGAUGAAAUGUGCUCAACAUUAAAGGGUUGGCAUUGGAUCAUUUAGCAAUGUUAUCCCAAACAUUUGUGCAACAAUGGUCGCCAGGUGAAUUGUCCAUAACCGUAUGAUAUUUCGACGAUGGCGACACCUGCAGAGCAAGACCUUGCAUUAGCUGAAGCCGAAAGCAACAAGGAAAAGUCUCAAGUAUUUGGAAUCCUUAGGUUACAGGAAGAAAAAUCGGCCGGUGAAAAAGCUAGCACCACGUCCACGGCCAUGAUGGCAGGGGAUGGGAGAUGGCAGGCGCCCAUAUUUGCCCUAGCCAGGAAAGCAUCGGAGACCUUUUCAGGAAGCAGCAGUCAUGUUCUGGCAAAGGUAGCAGAACCCACAUCUUUUGUAAACGAAUGGAGUGUCCCAGCUCUGCGGGACCCUAUGUCGAUGGAGAGAACUAACCUGCUGAACAUGGCCAAGCUCAGCAUCAAAGGCCUGAUCGAGUCGGCCCUCAGUUUUGGACGCACCCUGGACUCCGACUACCCUCCACUCCAGCAGUUCUUUGUUGUCAUGGAGCACUGCCUCAAACAUGGCCUCAAAGUGAAGAAGUCCUUUCUUGGAUACAACAAGUCACUGUGGGGUCCUCUGGAGAUGGUGGAGAAGUUGUGUCCUGAGGCAGGAGAGAUUGCAGCCAGCGUCAGGGACCUACCAGGACUAAAGACUCCACUGGGCAGAGCUCGGGCCUGGCUGCGUCUGGCCCUGAUGCAGAAGAGGCUGGCUGAUUACCUCCGCCUUCUGAUCACCAGAAAGGACCUGCUGAGUGAUUUCUAUGACAACUCUGCUGUGAUGGUAGAGGAGGAGGGUGCUGUCAUCGUUGGCCUGCUGGUGGGACUCAAUGUGAUCGAUGCCAACCUGUGUGUCAAGGGCGAGGACCUGGAUACACAGGUUGGGGUCAUUGACUUCUCAAUGUACUUGAAAAAUGACAUUGAUGACUACAGAAGUGGAGAAAGAAAUGGUCAAAUAGCAGCCAUCCUAGACCAGAAGAACUAUGUUGAAGAAUUAAAUAGGCAGCUUAAUUCUUCAGUACACGGCUUACAAGGGAGGGUCGAUAACUUGGAGAAAUCAAACUCUAAACUCAUUGAGGAGCUGGCGAUUGCAAAAAAUAACAUCAUCAAACUGCAAGAGGAGAACCAUCAGCUUAGGAAUGAGAACACUAUUAUUCUCAUAAAAGCUCAGCAGCAACUUGAGGUGACCCAGGUUGACGUGGAUGUGGAGCUGGACACCUAUAAGCAGUCGAGGCAGGGCCUUGACGAGAUGUACAACGAGGCCAGGAGACAGCUCAGAGAGGAGUGUCAACUACGCCAGGAUGUGGAAAAUGAGUUGGUGGUACAGGUGAGCAUGAAGCAGGAGAUGGAUCUGGCCAUGAAACUGUUGGAGAAGGACAUUCACGAAAAACAGGACACACUGAUCGGCCUGCGCCACCAGCUGGACGAAGUCAAGGCCAUCAAUGUGGAAAUGUACACAAAAAUGCAGACUUCUGAUGAUGGCAUGAAACAGAAGAACGACAUGAUCACUCGUUUGGAGGAGAAGACCAAUCAAAUCACAGCAACCAUGAAACAACUGGAGCAAAGAUUACAAGAGGCAGAGCGGGACCGCUGGACUGCAGAAGAUGGAGCUCGCAAAUUCAAGCACGACUUUGCCAACAAAGCCGACAGCCUCCAAAAGCAGAUAGCCCAGAAAGAGAAACAAAUGCAGCAGCUGGAGACAGACCUAAAGAUUGAGAAGGAGUGGCGGCAAACCUUACAGAACGACCUGGAGAGGGAACGAGACAUCGUCGCCCAGCUCAGUGCUGAAGCCCAGCAAAUAAAUGGACUUAAAAAGGAGUUCCACAGGCUGCAGGAUGAGAACAGCCAGCUGAAGGGGAUUUGUGAAGAACAGGAGCAGGCCCUGGAGGAGCUAGGCUGCAAACUUAGCGAGUACUUGUCUAUUUUAAACUCAUUUGAUAUCAAAACUUAAAAUUGAAGACAUAAAAGAGGCAAAUAAAGCUCUUCAGGGAGGGCAGGUCUGGCUGAAGGACAAAGAUGCUACCCACUGUAAACUUUGUGAGAAGGAGUUCUCCAUCUCUAGGAGAAAGCACCACUGUAGAAACUGUGGGGAGAUCUUCUGCAAUGCCUGCUCUGACAACGAGCUGCCCCUCCCUGCCUCGCCAAAACCAGUGAGGGUCUGUGAUACGUGCCACGCCCUUCUCCUCCAACGCUGCUCCUCCAAUGCCACGUGAGAUGCCCCCCUUCAGGUCCAGCCGCAGCUUUAACUCAAUCCCCCACCUCCCCGCAGCUCAGACUACCAGGAAACCUCUGAGCUCGUGUGACUGUUAUCAGGUGUCAAGUGUGUACAUUCUACAAGGUAUAUCGCUUUGUGUAGCAUGAGAUUUGAGAUGUUAUAUCUGUGACACUAAGGUUCUUGUGAUAAAUGUCAACAUUCCCUUACAAUAGAUAACCAUUUGGGCAGCUGAGCAUAUCAUUCCAAAUCUGCAGUAAGAAUAUCUUGAUGAGACAAUUUUAAAGUAUGUUUCUCUGUGUGAUACAGUGGCUGAGCCUGAUGUGAUAAGGACUGGAGUCAUAUUUUUGUUUUGAGUCAUGUUAUUUCACUUGAACAGUCUUAAAGGACGAGUACAUCUUUUUUUUUUACCAAAUCUCUUUUUUAUUUACAUUUGUGUGCUUUCUCAUUCCCAUUAUGGUGAGAACCUGGGAAUGCUUGAACACGGAAAGUAUCACUCGAGUUUAACAAAAUGGAAUAACAUUGCGGAUAAAGUUUGUAAUGACACGUGUGUACAACAUCUAAAGAAAUGCAUCACUAUACUGAGUGUUGUCGUUUCUAAAAAAAAAAAUAUGUUUUUGGAGCCGUUUUAUCUGUGCCCCUACAACUGUAGAAAGAGCAUGAGGAAGUAUCUUGCUGGUAGGGUUUCUCAAAACCAAGUGAAAUCGCAAAAGAAGUGGCUGGACACUUCUAUAGCAUGCUAUUUACAAAAAAAGAGAUUUGGUUAAACAAAGUGAACUUCUCCUUUAACUGAUGUAAUUCACAUGUGCCUCUAAUAAGCCAAAAUACUAAAUGAGUACCUUUCACAGAUUUGUUUCUGCAUGGUAGAAUGCAGGCACAUUUCAGAAGUAUGUUUACCAAAAGCACUAAUGUUUCCGAUACUGCUUUGUGAUGAAGAAGCAGAAACUACAUGAAACAGCGCAGCAAAUGUAUGUUGUACUUUUUGAUUAAGUAGGCCUAAUAAAUUAUUACCUUAAGUAUUCAAAUACUGUAGCUAGCUAACAAUUAAGCUUGUAAACAUGCCAAUCUUGUAUUUCUUUUCAGAGAGAAAUUUUUCUGCACAUUUUAUUCAAAUUUGUUAGGCAAGUUAAAAAACUUGGAUCACAAAGUGGCAAGGAAUUUGAGAUGCACUAAUUCAUGUAACCACUUAUACACUUGCUGGAUUUUGUUUUGUAUUCAAUCAGCAAAACAAUGUUUACAAUAUAAUUUUCCAAAACUGGAAUUAACUUUAUUACAAAUGGAUGUGCUACAUCUCACAUAGAUGAUCAAAACAUGCUGUGUGCAGUAUGUUUUCAAUAGAAGCCAGUUACUUUGCAAAGCAUUAAUUCAUGUUGCCAAUCAUGUCAUUUUGACUAUGAAAAUUAAAGUGAUUGAACGGGA